rnacentral:rRNA from 1 species
CCUACGGGUGGCAGCAGUGAGGAAUAUUGGUCAAUGGGCGGGAGCCUGAACCAGCCAAGUCGCGUGAGGGAAGACGGUCCUAUGGAUUGUAAACCUCUUUAGGCGGGGAGCAAUGCCGGGCACGCGUGCCCGGAGGGAGAGUACCCGCAGAAUAAGCAUCGGCUAACUCAGUGCCAGCAGCCGCGGUAAUACGGAGGAUGCGAGCGUUAGACGGAUUUGUUGGGGUUAAAGGGUGCGUGGGCGGAUUGUUAAGUCAGCGGUAAAAGGUCCGGGCUCAACCCGGGCCGGCCGUUGAAACUGGGGAUCUUGAGUGGGCGAGAGGUAUGCGGAAUGCGUGGUGUAGCGGUGAAAUGCAUAGAUAUCACGCAGAACUCCGAUUGCGAAGGCAGCAUACCGGCGCCCGACUGACGCUGAGGCACGAAAGCGUGGGGAUCGAACAGGAUUAGAUACCCCUGUAGUC